rnacentral:misc_RNA from 1 species
GGAAGGCCUAACGUAAGAGAGGGGAACAUGUGAUCAUAUUUCAAGGAAAGUCUCUUCUUCUUUUGUUGAAGAUGAUGAUCGGAUUGAGAACAGUUUUGUUGCUUGUCAUGGCAGCUUAAUCCUAGACCAAGGCCGGUGUUACAAACUCCAUCAGAAAUUCCAAAACUCAUAAUAUCAAAAUUGCAAGACCACCACCUAGUGUUGUUGAAGUAGCUUGAGCAUAAAAUUAUCUUGAAACUAUGGAGAGCUUGUAGAGAGGUAGAGGACCCUUCUUGAAAGAAAUGUAAAGGUUGAGGAAAGUGUGGGAAAUAGGUUAGGUGGGGACUCGUUA